GUAAAUAAAAAUAUUCAAGGGAAAUAACUGAACGACUUACCAGUAUUAUCCGUUUUCUUCUAGCUGUUUAUAAAUAAAUCACACCCUAACCCUAACGUCAAUCAAAUCACGUGUGUGAUUUAUUUAUAAACAGAGAUGUACGUAGAAUACUGGUAAGACGUUCAGUUACUUCCCUUGAAUAUUUUUUUUUUACCCCCCCCCUAAACUUGAAGAUUACCGAUUCUUUAAUCACUCUUUCUACAGGAACUACCCAACUACGGAAACAUUGGUAUUUCAUCUCGCACAACAGCCAUCUGAGAAGUACCGACAUAUCAGAUACACAUUUAAAUGUUGCGUCUACUUAUUUUGGCAUAACUACAGGGUUUUACCCACCAGACUUUGGGAGGUCAUAACUUUCAGAAAAAUGAAUAUUUUUUAAUGAAAUUUUCUAUGCAUAUAGUAUUUACUAUGUAGAAUCCGAAUAUACAAAAAUUUCCGGUGAAAGUGUUUUGGAAUUGGGGUGGGGGACAAUUUUCGGAAAUUCCCCUCCCAAAGUCUGGGCUGUAAAACCCUGUAGUUAUGCCCUUAUUUUAUCACAUUAUAUUUUUUUUGUCUCAUUACAAUUAGUGGCAUCGCAGGAAGAGAAGAUUUGGGAAUAAAAUUUGAUGCCCUCAGUUUUGAAAUUAUACAUUUUUCCACACUCGUUCACCAGUAAUUAAUCUAUUAAUUAACACAAUUAGAAGGUUAAUAUAGAUGUUAAUACAGGAACACAUCGAGAUUAUGGAAUUAAAGCAAUUUAAAUAGUACAAAUCAAUGACGUCUGAAAGGAACAAUUAAAGAACUGAAAAAACUUCAAUUGGGUGUAGCCAAAACGGCAUACUGAGAAAAAUAUUUUGCGUCAUAUAUUAAUGAAUUUACUUUUCGAAACAAGUCACUGAUUGGUUAAAAUUACCCAAAUACGACAACUUUAACACGAAAUAACUUCUGAAAUACGAAAUUUUGUCAAAAGCGUUCAGAGUAAACCGUGUUCUACGUAAGAAAUUCUACCAGUAUUCGAAGUUUCAAACUGUUCAGUUAAAAAAAAAACAUCAAUUAAAAAACCUGUGAUUCAAACUGAACAGAUCCAAAUAAAGUAAUCUAGUUACAGUCUGAUACCAAAGGCGAGUGAUUGCCAACAUCACUUAAAUUCAAUGUGUGUUGCCAACAACAUAUUUUUUCUUUAAUUAAAAAAUUUCCACGUGACUUUACGCACUCAUAUAAGUAAAAUCUGCUUGUUUGAUAAUCUUUAAAUUUUACUAGCACAAUCUUAGAAAAAAAAAACAAAAAGAUUCCACGCAUUUACCUGAAAGGGGCUUUUCCUGACCAUAUGCAUAUGAAACAGUAAUGCUGUGAAACUGCUGGAAAUAAAAUAACAAUGUUAUACUUGCA